UAACACGUGGAUAACCUACCUAUAAGACUGGGAUAACUUCGUGAAACCGUAGCUAAUACCGGAUAAUAUUUUGAACCGCAUGGUUCAAAAGUGAAAGACGGUCUUGCUGUCACUUAUAGAUGGAUCUGCGCUGCAUUAGCUAGUUGGUAAGGUAACGGCUUACCAAGGCAACGAUGCAUAGCCGACCUGAGAGGGUGAUCGGCCACACUGGAACUGAGACACGGUCCAG
rnacentral:rRNA from 1 species